rnacentral:rRNA from 1 species
ACCCGCUGAACUUAAGCAUAUCAAUAAGCGGAGGAAAAGAAACUAACAAGGAUUCCCCUAGUAACUGCGAGUGAAGAGGGAAAAGCUCAAAUUUAAAAUCUGGCGGCUUCGCUGUCCGAGUUGUAAUUUAGAGAAGUGUUACCCUUGCUGGACCGUGUACAAGUUUCCUGGAACGGAACGUCAUAGAGGGUGAGAAUCCCGUCUUUGACACGGACUCCCAGCAUGCUGUGGUACGCUCUCGAAGAGUCGUGUUGUUUGGGAGUGCAGCACUAAAUGGGUGGUAAAUUCCAUCUAAAGCUAAAUAUUGGCGAGAGACCGAUAGCAAACAAGUACCGUGAGGGAAAGAUGAAAAGAACUUUGGAAAGAGAGUUAAACAGUACGUGAAAUUGUUGAAAGGGAAACGCUUGAAGUCUAGUCGCGUCGGUUGGAAAUCAGUCUUGCUUCUGCUUGAUGUACUUUCUAGUCGACGGGUCAGCAUCAGUUUUGACCGUUGGAUAAAGGUUGGGGGAAUGUGGCAUCCUCGGAUGUGUUAUAGCCUCUGAUUGCAUACAACGGUUGGGACUGAGGAACUCAGCACGCCGCAAGGCCGGGUACUCGUACCACGUUCGUGCUUAGGAUGCUGGCAUAAUAGCUUUAAUCGACCCGUCUUGAAACACGGACCAAGGAGUCUAACAUGCCUGCGAGUGUUUGGGUGGAAAACCCGAGCGCGCAAUGAAAGUGAAAGUUGAGAACUCAUCAGAGUGCAUCGACGCCCGGACCAGACGUUUUCUGAGGGCUCCGCGGUAGAGCAUGUAUGUUGGGACCCGAAAGAUGGUGAACUAUGCCUGAAUAGGGUGGAGCCAGAGGAAACUCUGGUGGAGGCUCGUAGCGAUUCUGACUUGCAAAUCGAUCGUCGAAUUUGGGUAUAGGGGCGAAAGAUAAUCGACCAUCUAGUAGCUGGUUCCUGCCG